rnacentral:rRNA from 1 species
AGUGAACGCUGGCGGUAGGCCUAACACAUGCAAGUCGAACGGCAGCACAGUAAGAGCUUGCUCUUACGGGUGGCGAGUGGCGGACGGGUGAGGAAUACAUCGGAAUCUACUUUUUCGUGGGGGAUAACGUAGGGAAACUUACGCUAAUACCGCAUACGACCUACGGGUGAAAGCAGGGGAUCUUCGGCCCUUGCGCGAUUGAAUGAGCCGAUGUCGGAUUAGCUAGUUGGCGGGGUAAAGGCCCACCAAGGCGACGAUCCGUAGCUGGUCUGAGAGGAUGAUCAGCCACACUGGAACUGAGACACGGUCCAGACUCCUACGGGAGGCAGCAGUGGGGAAUAUUGGACAAUGGGCGCAAGCCUGAUCCAGCCAUACCGCGUGGGUGAAGAAGGCCUUCGGGUCGUAAAGCCCUUUUGUUGGGAAAGAAAAGCAGCAGGUUAAUACCCCGCUGUUCUGACGGUACCCAAAGAAUAAGCACCGGCUAACUUCGUG